GAUGAACGCUGGCGGCGUGCCUAAUACAUGCAAGUCGAGCGAACAGACGAGGAGCUUGCUCCUCUGACGUUAGCGGCGGACGGGUGAGUAACACGUGGAUAACCUACCUAUAAGACUGGGAUAACUUCGGGAAACCGGAGCUAAUACCGGAUAAUAUAUUGAACCGCAUGGUUCAAUAGUGAAAGACGGUUUUGCUGUCACUUAUAGAUGGAUCCGCGCCGCAUUAGCUAGUUGGUAAGGUAACGGCUUACCAAGGCAACGAUGCGUAGCCGACCUGAGAGGGCGAUCGGCCACACUGGAACUGAGACACGGUCCAGACUCCUACGGGAGGCAGCAGUAGGGAAUCUUCCGCAAUGGGCGAAAGCCUGACGGAGCAACGCCGCGUGAGUGAUGAAGGUCUUCGGAUCGUAAAACUCUGUUAUUAGGGAAGAACAAAUGUGUAAGUAACUAUGCACGUCUUGACGGUACCUAAGCAGAAAGCCACGGCUAACUACGU
rnacentral:rRNA from 1 species